CCAAAAGUGUGGAUAUAAAUUAGAUAAUUAAACUUUAUGACCACAAAAUCAAAAAUAUUACUAAGUGGAUAAUAAAUUAAGUUAAUAGUAUGUUAAUAUGGUCAUUUAUUUUUUGUAAAAGUUCAUGAAUGCUAUGCAAUAUUAAAUAAGGUUAUAAAUGGAAUCGAAUAUUUGGAUACAGAUCAGAUAGUUGUCUAUCCAUAUCCAUAUCCAUUUUUCUUUGACGGAUAUGGUUACGGGAUACUGAUAUUAGUUGGAUGCUUAAAUUUCUAUCCACAUCCGGAUAGAUUCAGAUACGAAAACGGAUCUGGAUGGUAUCCGAUCGAUAUUCAACCCUAAGAGGGCCCCAACGGACCUCUGUUUCUGUCUAAUACAAAGCACUGAAGAUGCCAAAAUCAAUAGUUUCAAUCUAUAAGCUCUUUGGAAACAAUUAGUUUUAGAGAUAUGGGCAUGCAUGUUUU
rnacentral:lncRNA from 1 species